GAUGAACGCUAGCGGGAGGCCUAACACAUGCAAGCCGAGCGGUAUUGUUUCUUCGGAAAUGAGAGAGCGGCGUACGGGUGCGGAACACGUGUGCAACCUGCCUUUAUCUGGGGGAUAGCCUUUCGAAAGGAAGAUUAAUACUCCAUAAUAUAUUGAUUGGCAUCAAUUAAUAUUGAAAGCUCCGGCGGAUAGAGAUGGGCACGCGCAAGAUUAGCUAGUUGGUGAGGUAACGGCUCACCAAGGCGAUGAUCUUUAGGGGGCCUGAGAGGGUGAUCCCCCACACUGGUACUGAGACACGGACCAGACUCCUACGGGAGGCAGCAGUGGGGAAUUUUGGACAAUGGGCGCAAGCCUGAUCCAGCAAUGCCGCGUGCAGGAAGAAGGCCUUCGGGUUGUAAACUGCUUUUGUACGGAACGAAAAGGCUACUGGUUAAUACCUGGGGCUCAUGACGGUACCGUAAGAAUAAGCACCGGCUAACUACGUGCCAGCAG
rnacentral:rRNA from 1 species